rnacentral:rRNA from 1 species
GUUAAACAUAAAGAGCGUAGGGUGGAUGCCUAGGCACUGACAGCCGAAGAAAGACGUGACAAGCUGCGAAAAGCUGCGGGGAGAAGCACAUAUUCAGUGAUCCGCAGAUGUCUGAAUGGGGAAACCCACUUGGAAGAACUCCAAGUAUCUGUACGCCAAUACAUAACGUACAGAGGGGAACCCGGUGAACUGAAACAUCUAAGUAGCCGGAGGAAAAGAAAACAAAAGUGAUUGCGAAAGUAGCGGCGAGCGAAAUCGUAAGAGCCCAAACCGUGGUGCGUGCACUGCGGGGUAGAGGACUGCAACAUGAGUAAGAUACAUUACCUGAACCGUUUUGGAAAAGCGGGCCAAAGAGCGUGAGAGCCGUGUAAGGGAAAAUGUAUUUAAUCUAGCAGUAUCCGGAGUACCACGAGACACGAGAAACCUUGUGGGAAGCAGGGGGGACCACCCCCCAAGGCUAAAUACUAGUCAGUGACCGAUAGCGUAUAGUACUGUGAAGGAAAGGUGAAAAGAACCCCGGGAGGGGAGUGAAAAAGAACCUGAAACCCUAUGUUUACAAACUGUGGAACACCGAAAGGUGAACCGCGUACUUUUUGUAGAACGGUCCGGCGAGUUACAUGUACAGGCGAGGUUAAGUAUUAAAGAUACGGAGCCGAAGGGAAACCAAGUCUUAAUAGGGCGAAAGUAGUCAGUAUGUGUAGACCCGAAACCGGGUGAUCUAUCCAUGUCCAGGUUGAAGUUCGCGUAAAAGUGAAUGGAGGACCGAACACACAUCCGUUGAAAAGGGUGGUGAUGAGGUGUGGAUAGGGGAGAAAUUCCAAUCGAACCCGGAGAUAGCUGGUUCUCCUCGAAAUAGUUUUAGGACUAGCCUCGUUAUUAGUCUACCGGAGGUAGAGCACUGAAUUUUUGCGGGGGCGUCAAAGCCUACCAAGAGAUAUCAAACUCCGAAUGCCGGCUAGAUGAUUGACGGGAGUCAGACUACACGAGAUAAGUUGGGUAGUCAAAAGGGAAAGAGCCCAGACCUACGGCUAAGGUCCCAAAGUGUGUGUUAAGUGGAAAAGGAUGUGGGAUUUCGAAGACAGCUAGGAUGUUGGCUUAGAAGCAGCCAUACAUUAAAAGAGUGCGUAACAGCUCACUAGUCGAGAGGUCCUGCGCCGAAAAUGUCCGGGGCUAAACACACCACCGAAGCCUGGGAAUGUAUUUUAUACAUUGGUAGAGGAGCAUUCUUAGAGGCGUAGAAGCCAUACCGAAAGGAAUGGUGGAGUAAUAAGAAGAGAGAAUGCCGGAAUGAGUAGCGAGAAAGAGGUGAGAAUCCUCUUGGCCGAAUAUCUAAGGUUUCCUGAGUAAAGCUGAUCUACUCAGGGUAAGUCGGGGCCUAAGGCAAGGUCGAAAGACGUAGUCGAUGGAUAACAGGUACAGAUUCCUGUACUACAUAUAAUCAGAACUGUGGGGACACGGAGACUGAAACCGAACCCGGGAGGACAAAAACCGGGGCAAGCGAAGUACCUGUAUGGGAGGAAAAGCCACCAUGCAAAGGGAAAACGUGAUGCGUACCGAAAUUUAGUAGGGAAGUCGGAUAGGGAGCCGUCAAGAAAAGCCGCUAUUGUGUUAUAUGUACCCGUACCGCAAACCGACACAGGUAGAUGAGGAGAGAAUCCUAAGGCCGGCGGGAGAAGCAUUGUUAAGGAACUCGGCAAAAUGACCCCGUAACUUCGGGAGAAGGGGUGCCACUAGAAAUAGUGGUCGCAGAAAAAAGGCUCAAGCAACUGUUUAGCAAAAACACAGGUCUAUGCGAAACCGCAAGGUGAAGUAUAUGGGCUGACGCCUGCCCGGUGCUGGAAGGUUAAGAGGAGAAGUCAGGCAACGAAGCUUUGAAUUGAAGCCCCAGUAAACGGCGGCCGUAACUAUAACGGUCCUAAGGUAGCGAAAUUCCUUGUCGGGUAAGUUCCGACCCGCACGAAAGGCGUAAUGAUUUGAGCGCUGUCUCAACAAUGCACCCGGUGAAAUUGAAGUACCAGUGAAGAUGCUGGUUACC